rnacentral:rRNA from 1 species
GAUGAACGCUAGCGGCAGGCUUAACACAUGCAAGUCGAGGGGUAUUGGUUUUCGGACCAAGAGACCGGCGCACGGGUGCGUAACGCGUAUGCAAUCUACCUUUUGCAGAGGGAUAGCCCAGAGAAAUUUGGAUUAAUACCUCAUAGUAUAGUACUUUGGCAUCAAGGAACUAUUAAAGUCACAACGGCAAAAGAUGAGCAUGCGUCCCAUUAGCUAGUUGGUAAGGUAACGGCUUACCAAGGCUACGAUGGGUAGGGGUCCUGAGAGGGAGAUCCCCCACACUGGUACUGAGACACGGACCAGACUCCUACGGGAGGCAGCAGUGAGGAAUAUUGGACAAUGGGCGCAAGCCUGAUCCAGCCAUGCCGCGUGCAGGAUGACGGUCCUAUGGAUUGUAAACUGCUUUUAUACAGGAAGAAACACUACUUCGUGAAGUAGCUUUGACGGUACUGUAAGAAUAAGGAUCGGCUAACUCCGUGCCAGCAGCCGCGGUAAAG